rnacentral:rRNA from 1 species
UACGUAGGGUGCAAGCGUUGUCCGGAAUUAUUGGGCGUAAAGAGCUCGUAGGCGGUCUGUCGCGUCGGCUGUGAAAACCUGGGGCUCAACCCCGGGCUUGCAGCCGAUACGGGCAGACUAGAAUUCGGUAGGGGAGACUGGAAUUCCUGGUGUAGCGGUGAAAUGCGCAGAUAUCGGGAGGAACACCAAUGGCGAAGGCAGCUCGCUGGGACGUGACUGACGCUGAGACGCGAAAGCGUGGGGAGCAAACAGG